AUUGAACGCUGGUGGCAGGCUUAACACAUGCAAGUCGAGCGGCAGCAAGCCUUCGGGCGUUGGCGAGCGGCGGACGGGUGAGUAAUGCAUAGGAAUCUGCCUGGUAGUGGGGGAUAGCCCGGGGAAACUCGGAUUAAUACCGCAUACGCCCUACGGGGGAAAGGAGGGGAUCUUCGGACCUUUCGCUAUCAGAUGAGCCUAUGUCGGAUUAGCUAGUUGGUGAGGUAAAGGCUCACCAAGGCGACGAUCCGUAACUGGUCUGAGAGGAUGAUCAGUCACACUGGAACUGAGACACGGUCCAGACUCCUACGGGAGGCAGCAGUGGGGAAUAUUGGACAAUGGGCGCAAGCCUGAUCCAGCCAUGCCGCGUGUGUGAAGAAGGCCUGGUUGUAAG
rnacentral:rRNA from 1 species